rnacentral:rRNA from 1 species
AGCUCCAGUAGCGUAUAUUAAAGUUGUUGCAGUUAAAAAGCUCGUAGUUGGAUUUCUGGUAGGUCACUCUGGUCCGCGACCUUCGGGUAGUGUGUUGCCGGAUGCUACCUAUCAUCCUACCAGGGUUCUAAGCCUGCCCUUUACUGGGUUGGGCUUAUGUGCUUUGGUACAUUUACUUUGAAAAAAUUAGAGUGUUUAAAGCAGGCUUACGCCAUUGAAUAGAUUAGCAUGGAAUAAUAAUAUAGGACUUUGUCCCUAUUUUGUUGGUUUCUAGGGAUGCAGUAAUGAUUGAUAGGGAUAGUUGGGGGUGCUCGUAUUGAGUGGCCAGAGGUGAAAUUCUUGGAUUCACUCAAGACGAACUACUGCGAAAGCAUUCACCAAGGAUGUCUUCU